GUGCUUGCUUCGGCAGCACAUAACUAAAAUUGGAACGAUACAGGGAACAUUAGCAUGGCCCCUGCACAAGUAUGACACGCAAAUUCAUGAAGUGUUCCAUAUUUUU
rnacentral:snRNA from 1 species